rnacentral:rRNA from 1 species
AGCGAACGCUGGCGGCGUGCUUAACACAUGCAAGUCGAACGUGAACGGCUUCGGCCUAGUAAAGUGGCGUACGGGUGAGUAACACGUGGGUAAUCUACCUUAGAAUCUGGAAUAACCGGCCGAAAGGCUGGCUAAUACUGGAUAGAGCGACGGGAAACGUGAUGUUUCUUUCGGGAAAGGGAGCCUGAUAAGGGCCUUCGUUCUAAGAUGAGCCUGCGUCUGAUUAGCUAGUUGGCGGGGUAAUGGCCCACCAAGGCGAUGAUCAGUAGCUGGUCUGAGAGGAUGAUCAGCCACACUGGAACUGGAACACGGUCCAGACUCCUACGGGAGGCAGCAGUGGGGAAUCUUGCGCAAUGGACGAAAGUCUGACGCAGCCACGCCGCGUGAGUGAAGAAGGCCUUCGGGUUGUAAAGCUCUGUCACCUGGGACGAAAACAAUUAAGGUUAAUAGCCUUAGGGAUUGACGGUACCAGGGGAGGAAGCACCGGCUAACUUCGUGCCAGCAGCCGCAGUAA